rnacentral:tRNA from 1 species
UAUGUUUUAGUAUAUGAUGUACAUGAGUUUUUGAAAUUUAGAGAAGUAGUUGGAUUCUACUAAACAUAA